rnacentral:rRNA from 1 species
AACGAACGCUGGCGGCGUGCCUAACACAUGCAAGUCGAACGUGAAAGCAGGCUUCGGCCUGUCGGUAGCGUGGCAGACGGGUGAGUAACACGUGGGUAACCUGCCCGGAGAUGGGGGAUAACCUUUCGAAAGGAAGGCUAAUACCGCAUAACAUCCCGAGGCCUUCGGACCUCGGGAUCAAAGCUAGCCUCUACAUGUAAGCUGGCGUCACCGGAGGGGCCCGCGCCCCAUUAGCUUGUUGGUGAGGUAAAGGCUCACCAAGGCCACGAUGGGUAGCCGGCCUGAGAGGGCGAUCGGCCACACUGGAACUGAGACACGGUCCAGACUCCUACGGGAGGCAGCAGUGAGGAAUCUUGCGCAAUGGGCGAAAGCCUGACGCAGCGACGCCGCGUGGAGGAUGAAGGCCUUCGGGUCGUAAACUCCUGUCGAGAGGGACGAAAGCCGGGGAGGUUAAUAGCCUCUUCGGUUGACGGUACCUCCAAAGGAAGCCCCGGCUAACUCCGUG